AGAGCUCAAAUUUGUAAUCUGGCCCUUUCAGGGUCCGAGUUGUAAUCUCGAGAAGUGUUUUCCGCGCCGGACCGCAUACAAGUCUGUUGGAAUACAGCGUCAUAGUGGUGAGAGCCCCGUAAUUGAUGUGGAUGCCCGGUGCUUUGUGAUACACUUUCGAAGAGUCGAGUUGUUUGGGAAUGCAGCUCAAAUUGGGUGGUAAAUUCCAUCUAAAGCUAAAUAUUGGCGAGAGACCGAUAGCGAACAAGUACCGUGAGGGAAAGAUGAAAAGCACUUUGGAAAGAGAGUUAACAGUACGUGAAAUUGUUGGAAGGGAAACGCUUGAAGUCAGACUUGCUAUUCGGAAUUCAGCCGCAAGGUGUACUUUUCGAUUUGCAGGCCAGCAUCAGUUUUUGGGGGUGGAAAAGGGUGGAGAGAAGGUAGCAACCUUGGUUGUGUUAUAGCUCUUUACUGGAUUCAUCUUUGGGGACUGAGGAUCGCAGUGCGCAAUUUACUUUGCAAACCUUUCGAGGUUUUCGUACUUAGGAUGCUGGUGGAAUGGCUUUAAACGACCCGUCUUGAA
rnacentral:rRNA from 1 species